UACGUAGGGGGCUAGCGUUGUCCGGAAUCAUUGGGCGUAAAGGGCGUGUAGGCGGUCCGGUAAGUCCGCUGUGAAAGUCGGGGGCUCAACCCUCGAAUGCCGGUGGAUACUGUCGGGCUAGAGUGCGGAAGAGGCCAGUGGAAUUCCUGGUGUAGCGGUGAAAUGCGCAGAUAUCAGGAGGAACACCUAUUGCGAAGGCAGCUCGCUGGGACGUAACUGACGCUGAGACGCGAAAGCGUGGGGAGCAAACAGG
rnacentral:rRNA from 1 species